GACGGCUUCAAGCCCUGCCAGCCGUGUCCCCGUGGGUCCUACCAGCCCGAGGUGGGGCGGGCGCUCUGCUUCCCCUGCGGCGGGGGCCUGACCACCCGCCUCGAGGGAGCCCUCUCCUUCCAGGACUGCGACACCAAAGUCCAGUGCUCCCCCGGGCAUUACUACAACACCAGCGUCCACCGCUGCAUCCGCUGCGCCGUGGGCACCUACCAGCCCGAUUUUCGGCAGAAUUACUGCAUCGCCUGUCCCGGCAACACCACCACCGACUUCGACGGCUCCACCUCCGUGUCCCAGUGCAAAAACCGCCAGUGUGGGGGUGAGCUGGGCGAGUACACGGGCUACAUCGAGUCCCCCAACUACCCGGGGAAUUAUCCCGCCAACGUGGAGUGUACCUGGAACAUCAACCCCCCACCCAAGCGCAAGAUCCUCAUCGUGGUGCCGGAGAUCUUCCUCCCCUCCGAGGACGAGUGCGGAGAUGUCUUGGUCAUGCGGAAAAACU